GCUGCGUGCUCUACACGCACUAAUACACAUGUAGCUGGGACUUCAGCUGCGUGUUCUACAUGCACUAAUACUUGUGUUGCAUUCGAAGGAGAGCGAUAUGCAAAAUACUAGAUUUGGUAGUAUUUUUUUGGAGGUUGAUAGGUCGAUAGGCGAAGGGGCAAGGCGAUCAACGGUGCCGGUGAGAGAGCGGGAGAAUGUAAAGGAGGGGAAUAUUGCGNAAAUAUUAUAACGUUUAAAAUGAAGUGCUAGCGUGUUUAGUAUGGGGGGGGAAAGGGGACCACAGCGGCGAAAUGGAGAAAGUCCGCCACACUUGGGAAGGAGAGCUGAGGUAUUCUGAGUCGCAUCUCAGGUAGAGUACGUAGGAGCUAGACCAUCGGCACCUCAGACUUGUCCACGUCUGGGGUGGAGAGAUGUUUGUCCGUUAGAUGUAGAGUAAAGUCCGAUGCAUUGUUUUGAAUUAUCGUUUGUUUUUUUUGAUAUUUGUUCGAGAUGUCCGAACAGUUGGUUUGUUGUGCGACCUGGGGGCCUGGGAAGAACUCAGCCCUGGGAUGACUGGCUAGCCGGCCUUGCCCCAACACCAAAACAGGUUCGUAACAAUAAUGGCGCCCAAUUUAAGACAAAUUUAUGAGUCGCAGUCCGUUCUCGAACAUGAAAGUGGGAGAGUACGGCUGCGAAUCAUAAAGUUCGAAGAGAUUAUAAAUGUCCAGCCGAGAGGAACGAUCUCGAGUGGUAGUCUGCAGUAAGGGUCCGUCUGUGUUCCGGUGGCCUGUGAGGAGCUUUGAAGGCUGGCUCGCAGAUGCACGGCACGGAGGGAUCUGUAAAUGUAAAAAUCCACAAAGUAAAUUGUUUUUUUUAGUUUGAGUUUAAACUUAUCUGACAGAGGGAAGCCGGAGCNAGAGAGCCGGAAAAGAAAAAAUACCCGAAGUUAGAUACGAUGAAAUUUGUUUUGUUGUUCUAUGGUUGUAUCUAAACUUAGCAGACAGAGGGAAGCCGGAGCUCUCAAGGGGGUAAGGUUUGGCACUGGCUGAGGAGAGUCCUCAAGCCAGUUAGCAACCGACCCGUUGCCUGGUGGACAGAAGAGAGCCUGGAAAGAAAAAAAUACCCGAAGUUAGUUAAGUUCGUGUAGUUUGUUUUUGUGCAGCUUCCCCUACUUACCGCUGGAGGACACCGGGAAAGUAGUAUCUCGUAGAGAUUUGUUUUGCUCGAGGUGGCCCGUGGGGACAUUAAGUCGGCCACGCGAUGCACCUGGAGCAGCUACAAGAUCCCGAAGCUAUCCUUCAGUAGAGUAGUGGGACAGAAGCAGCUAGGUAGCAGAGUGAGCGCCCUUGACUCUUAAUCUUCUGUAGAAGAUGAGAGGUCAACAGCACUCGCGAAGAAGUUGAAGACGUUGGACAAGCAAAGACGUAGGGAACCAAGUGCAGAUGGCCCCAGUAGCAGUUGUGGUUACUUUCCCCUCUUAGUGUUGAUCUUGCAGUAAUUUGAAGUUCCGUGUCAGGUUUUGUUUGAGCCUUGAGUUUCUGUGGAAGAGAGAAAAGUAGGUGGUCAGAAAGUUUAUGAGCAACUACAAUUUACGGUCAAAGGGGAAAAUGACUAGCAGGACUCCUCCGCCAGGAAACUUGCCGGAACAGGGCGCAGAAGGAGGAGAGAACGACAGUUGGAACCAGCCGAAGUACCCAAAAGAAUUGCCGUCGGAAAUUCUUUCGGGCAUAAACGUCGCCAUAGCACAAGCGCAGGAGACGCAGAGAGGAGCUAUGGCGGACACCAUCAGCAGGACGCUGCAAGAGGAGAUCCGUCGAGGAUUUAUGGAGCUGAUGGGUGCCAUAACGGAGGCAAUGACGCCCCUGCGCCAGAAGGGAGAGCUGAUCCAGGAUCUGGGCUGGGAGGAUGGUCCGAAUGGCAGAGAAGGCGGUGCGAAGGCUCCAGAAUGGCGAAGACAGAGUACCGGCACCCGACCCAAAGGUUCCGUGGAACAACAGGAGCAUAUUCCACAAGCGCCUCCGAGGAAGCCGGAGAGACUGAGCCAAUAUUGGUCACGCAGGGUGGAAGAUGGCGACCUGGAAACGAGACCGAUGGUACCUGAACGUGAACCAGCAGGAGACGGCGGAGCUCGGCGAUACACGACGCCCUACGAGAGGCGAGACGACUGGAGAGAGCCGAGAUGGGGACGCAUCGACAAAUGGGACAUCCAUUUCGACGGCGACCCAGACCCGGCCAAACUGACGGUGGAGGAUUUUGUGUUUCGGGUCGAAUUUCUCCAGAGGCAGAGUCGACGCUCGUGGGACGAAGUCCUUGAUAAUUUUCACCAUCUGGUGAGAGGACGUGCUGCCGAGUGGUACUGGCAGUUUGUAAGAGAGAAUCCUCCAGAAGUCUGGGAGGACUUAAAGGACGAGUUGGUAUCCCGAUUCCGUGCAGUAGGUGGGCAAUACGAGCGGCUGCGGGCGUUGAAUGAGCGACGGCAAGAACCUGGAGAAUCGGUGGAAGAUUACUUUCGAGCGAUGCGGAGGCUGGCUGCAAGACUGAUCACCCCAAUAGCAGAUCCUGAGAUGGUCAGAGUCGUCAAGAAGGGACUCGAGGAGGAGAUCGCUCGUUAUGUGUACGCGAUCCGAGUCCGAAACCUGGAGCAGCUGAGGGAAGAGUGUGUAGAGGUGGAGUACCUUUUCCGCAGACGCGAGCGAAGGUCAGCUUUUCGCCCAACGCUGAAGUUCCAACAAUCCGGUAAGCGAGUGGAGGAGAUCGAGCCAGAGUCGGAGGAGCUGUUGGAAGGAGAGGAAGAGGUGAUGGUUGAGGAAACCCACCUGACAGCGAAGCCGAGGCUGGGCUGCUGGAAUUGCGGAGAAGUUGGCCACGGGUUCCGAGAGUGUAUGGCCAAGGAACGCAGAGUAUUCUGCUAUCUCUGCGGAAGGCCCGAAACGUACACGCCGAAGUGUCCCAACUGCUCGGGAAACUCAAGAACGGGCAUGAUGAAGGCGGGAUAUCAGAGCUCGGGACGGAAGCCCGCGAGGAAGUGAAGGAAGCGCUAUUGGAGGUUGUAAAAAUUAAGCAUAUUAACCCAAGUAGUAUAGAAAAAAAUAGUUUAAAAUUCUUACCGGUCGAAGAGAGGAUGAGGAAGUAUAAACAAGCCCGAAAUCGGAUCUUUGACGAACAUCAGCUGAAUGGAAUGCGAGGUGUCAGCCGUAGACUCCAGAGGGCCCGUGCACGCUUCCGGCAAAGGAGACAGACUCGCAAGGAGGUNGGAGUGGGAGCGGUGUUGUUUCAGUUGGACGUCGAAGGAGCCGAGCGUCCGGUGGCUUUCUUCUCCGCCAAGUUAAACAAGCAUCAGCUAAAUUAUUCUGUAACGGAAAAAGAGUGUUUAGCUGCGGUGUUGGCCAUUGAAAAAUUCAGACCGUACAUUGAAUUGAUGCCCUUCACGGUUAUUACGGAUCACGCCAGCCUGAAAUGGCUCAUGUCAUUGAAGGAUCUAAACGGACGUCUUGCGAGGUGGUCAUUGCGACUGCAGAGGUUUGACUUUGGGAUCGAACACCGGAAA
rnacentral:lncRNA from 1 species